rnacentral:rRNA from 1 species
CUGUAGGUGAACCUGCGGAAGGAUCAUUGUCGAUACCUGCUCAGCAGAUAGACCCGUGAACAUGUCGCAUCAUAUGAUCAAAGGGGGAAGGGUGUGGAGGGGGUGUGAGCCCCUUCCUCCCUGACCCCCUUGUAAGGUCGGUCCACGGGUAUCCGUGGCAUUGACCCAAACACAACAAUCGGCGCGGUUGGCGCCAAGGAAUUCACAACGGAAUGGGCGUGCCAUCGUACCUUUGGUGUGAUGUGUAUUGUCUUGAAUCCGAAUAUCACGAAAGACUCUCGGCAACGGAUAUCUCGGCUCUUGCAUCGAUGAAGAACGUAGCGAAAUGCGAUACUUGGUGUGAAUUGCAGAAUCCCGUGAACCAUCGAGUCUUUGAACGCAAGUUGCGCCCUAGGCCAUCAGGCUGAGGGCACGCCUGCCUGGGCGUCACGCAUCGCGUCGCCCGCCCUCUGUUGCCCUUGUGGUGGCCGAGUGCGGUGCGGAGUUUGGCCCCCCGUGCCCCGUUUUGGAGUACGGUCGGUCCAAAGGAAAGAGCCCCCUGUGUGGCGAGCGUCACGACGAGUGGUGGUUGARGCCACUUUGCCAUUUAGUCCGGACGUCGUGUGCGUUUAGUCCAUACGUUGGGUUCUUGUAACCCUGUAAAGGCGUUGUCUCGUGACACGCUUCGACCGCGACCCCAGGUCAGGCGGGGCUACCCGCUGAGUUUAAGCAUAUCAAUAAG